rnacentral:rRNA from 1 species
GACGAACGCUGGCGGCGCGCCUAACACAUGCAAGUCGAACGAGCGAGAGAGAGCUUGCUUUCUCGAGCGAGUGGCGAACGGGUGAGUAACGCGUGAGGAACCUGCCUCAAAGAGGGGGACAACAGUUGGAAACGACUGCUAAUACCGCAUAAGCCCACGGCUCGGCAUCGAGCAGAGGGAAAAGGAGCAAUCCGCUUUGAGAUGGCCUCGCGUCCGAUUAGCUAGUUGGUGAGGUAAUGGCCCACCAAGGCGACGAUCGGUAGCCGGACUGAGAGGUUGAACGGCCACAUUGGGACUGAGACACGGCCCAGACUCCUACGGGAGGCAGCAGUGGGGAAUAUUGCACAAUGGGGGAAACCCUGAUGCAGCGACGCCGCGUGGAGGAAGAAGGUCUUCGGAUUGUAAACUCCUGUUGUUGGGGAAGAUAAUGACGGUACCCAACAAGGAAGUGACGGCUAACUACGUGCCAGCAGCCGCGGUAAAACGUAGGUCACAAGCGUUGUCCGGAAUUACUGGGUGUAAAGGGAGCGCAGGCGGGAAGACAAGUUGGAAGUGAAAUCUAUGGGCUCAACCCAUAAACUGCUUUCAAAACUGUUUUUCUUGAGUAGUGCAGAGGUAGGCGGAAUUCCCGGUGUAGCGGUGGAAUGCGUAGAUAUCGGGAGGAACACCAGUGGCGAAGGCGGCCUACUGGGCACCAACUGACGCUGAGGCUCGAAAGUGUGGGUAGCAAACAGGAUUAGAUACCCUGGUAGUCCACACCGUAAACGAUGAUUACUAGGUGUUGGAGGAUUGACCCCUUCAGUGCCGCAGUUAACACAAUAAGUAAUCCACCUGGGGAGUACGACCGCAAGGUUGAAACUCAAAGGAAUUGACGGGGGCCCGCACAAGCAGUGGAGUAUGUGGUUUAAUUCGACGCAACGCGAAGAACCUUACCAAGUCUUGACAUCCCUUGACAGACAUAGAAAUAUGUUUUCUCUUCGGAGCAAGGAGACAGGUGGUGCAUGGUUGUCGUCAGCUCGUGUCGUGAGAUGUUGGGUUAAGUCCCGCAACGAGCGCAACCCUUAUGGUCAGUUACUACGCAAGAGGACUCUGGCCAGACUGCCGUUGACAAAACGGAGGAAGGUGGGGAUGACGUCAAAUCAUCAUGCCCUUUAUGACUUGGGCUACACACGUACUACAAUGGCGUUAAACAAAGAGAAGCAAGACCGCGAGGUGGAGCAAAACUCAGAAACAACGUCCCAGUUCGGACUGCAGGCUGCAACUCGCCUGCACGAAGUCGGAAUUGCUAGUAAUCGUGGAUCAGCAUGCCACGGUGAAUACGUUCCCGGGCCU